GACGAACGCUGGCGGCGUGCCUAAUACAUGCAAGUUGAGCGCUGAAGGUUGGUACUUUUACCGACUGGAUGAGCAGCGAACGGGUGAGUAACGCGUGGGGAAUCUGCCUUUGAGCGGGGGACAACAUUUGGAAACGAAUGCUAAUACCGCAUAAAAACUUUAAACACAAGUUUUAAGUUUGAAAGAUGCAAUUGCAUCACUCAAAGAUGAUCCCGCGUUGUAUUAGCUAGUUGGUGAGGUAAAGGCUCACCAAGGCGAUGAUACAUAGCCGACCUGAGAGGGUGAUCGGCCACAUUGGGACUGAGACACGGCCCAAACUCCUACGGGAGGCAGCAGUAGGGAAUCUUCGGCAAUGGACGAAAGUCUGACCGAGCAACGCCGCGUGAGUGAAGAAGGUUGUCGGAUCGUAAAACUCGGUUGGUAGAGAAGAACGUUGGUGAGAGUGGAAAGCUCAUCAAGUGACGGUAACUACCCAGAAAGGGACGGCUAACUACGUG
rnacentral:rRNA from 1 species